rnacentral:rRNA from 1 species
GACGAACGCUGGCGGCGUGCUUAAUACAUGCAAGUCGAACGCAGUGGGGACGGGUGAGUAACACGUGGGUAACCUCCCAUCAGAGGGGGUAACACUUGGAAACAGGUGCUAAACCGACACUGAUGGAUGGAUCCGCGGUGCAUUAGCUAGUUGGUGGGGUAACGGCUCACCACGGCCACGAUGCAUAGCCGACCGGAGAGGCGGGUCGGCCACACUGGGACUGAGACACGGCCCAGGGUCCUCAGGGAGGCAGCAGGAGGGAAUCGUCGGCAAUGGACGAAAGUCUGACCGAGCAAGGCCGCGUGAGGUAAGAAGGUUGUCGGAUCGUAAAACGCUGUUGUUAGAGAAGCGGUAUCUAACCAGAAAGCCACGGCUAACUACGUGCCAGCAGCCGCGGUAAUAC